AACAUUGGACAGUUGCUAUGGACUUCUCAGCAUCCAGCCAUUCCUAUCUGGAAUGAAUUUCAAGAUGCAGAAGCAGGUCCAACAUUCUACACUGGAAGCUGAAGCCUGGGCAGCUGUUCUGUCUUGACGAUCAUGUGGCAGCUGGGAAGGUGGACAUGAGACCUAGACUCAGCCAAUCUGAUGGAGGUUCCUGAGGAUCUUGCCAUAUGUUUUUGAAUGAUGACUCUGAACUUUCACAUGAGAGAAAGAUACCGUGCUCUACUUUAAGAAUCGGAAGAAGAGAUACCACGGGUGCACCUGCACAGAGGAAAGGCCACGUGAGGACACAGUGAUAACACAGCCAUCUGCAAGCCUCUAAGAGAAGACUCAGGAGAAAUCAGACCUGCCAACACUUGAGCCUCCACCCUCCUGAACUGUGAGAAUAUUAAUUUCUUUUUUAGCUCACCAGGUACCUCAGUAACAGCAUUUUUGGCAGAGUUGUUGGCGCAAUAUCCAGAUGGAGAAGUAUUGGUGGGUGAGUUAGAGGUGAGGAAAUAAAUAUAACAAAGUCAGUUCAACACUUUUAAACUUAAAGCAACAGUAAAUAAAUGCAAAAUAUUUUUGUAUUAUGUAGACAGGGUAAGUUUUUAUUUUGCCAAGCAGAAAUGUUUUUAGUUCUACCUACUACUGUCAUUAUUUUAUUAAAAAGCAUUGAAUUUCAGAAAACUGGGAAGGAUAUAAAAGAAUAAUGAACAGUCUUCAGGAGAAAAUAGUAACCUUAAUCUGACUCAUAUCUAUAACUUGCUAUAUGAGUAAAUAUGGACAACAUUAGCUCAUUUCCUUUUUAUUUUGCUACGGACACCUAAAAAUAUCUCCUGAUGGUCUUAUAGUCCAUGAAUCAGUAUUUGGGAAUUUCUAGUGUAGUUUUCUUUUGAGGACUUUGGCUACGAAUGAGGGAGAGUGAGGUUAGUAACAGAUCCAGGGAAGACUUUUUCUUAACAUAGAAGAGACUUGAGUAUGUGUAAAUGUUAAUAUCAAGAAGCCAGUAGAAAGGAAGAGGCUGAAGAUGCAAGAAAGAUAAGUCAUAAUUUAUGGCAUGGUAUUCCAGAAAAGGACGAAGAGAUUGACCUUAAACAGAAGGGGCAACCUCUCCAUUGUCACAGGAGAGAAGUAGAAAUGGAUAGAGACAGAUGUAGACCGUAUGUAGACUUGAUGGCAGAAAAUUGAGGUAAUUCCCUUCUGAAAUUUAUAUUUUCUCCAUGAAGAAGAAGACAUUGUAAUCUAAGAGCAAUAGAAGAAAUAAUAGACAAAGUUUUGAGAAGGUUUCAAAGAGUUAAGAGAGAUAACAUGCCUGAGAAUCACAGAUUUGCUGCAUAGUAUUGAGGGCUCGGUAGAUUGUCUGCCAUAAAUUUACAAUGACACCUAAUCUGCUGAAUAGAAGUCAGUAGUCCAGGUGUAGGUAUAUAGAAGAUAUAGAUAGUUGUAUUCAUCCAGGGUUGGGGUUUUACAGAAUAGGCAAUGAAAGGACAAAAAGGGAGAAAGUUCAAUAUACUGGCAAGUAAGUGGUUAAAAUGGUGGCCCAUGGAACCUAAGCUGCAGAGGAGAGGAAGAAAGCAGAUAGGUUGAUGAAAACAGAAAAACCUAUUGGAGGAGAAUAUUUCACUGACCCCUUUGCAGGACUGGCGACAGGGGUGCCUCAUUUACUCUGCCUGCCAUUCUCAAGUUCUCACGGGAGGGCGCGCACAAGCAAACAAGGCAGGAACUGGGGUGCACAAGCACUGGAACCGACCAGCCACUUUGGCACCAGCGAGAUCAAACUCCACUCACUCAGACCACUGUGUUCCACCCGACAGGAGCGAACACACAGGUGAGUAGGUACAGGAGCUACAGUGAGCGCUUUUGGGCACCCCAGGAGCAAACUCCAUGCAGACCCCAGGUGGCAAUGAACCGGCAGGGGUGCCUGCAACUCCCAAAGCCCCAGAGGGUAUGUUAUGGUGCUCUUUCAGCUCUGCCACCCGUGGACAGCUUGAGUGUUAAAAGCUCAGUGGGCCCUCUGCCCUUUUGCAUGAGGUGGCUGCCCUCCUCUGGUGAGGGCAAAGGGCCAGUGUAACAGCCUUUUAUAUCAGCGCUGAUGGUUCCUGAGCUCUUGUCUGGCAUCCAGGAGAAAUGAGGUCAUACAAACAAAUCGAAGGAUGGUAAAUGCAGUGAAUUUGAUUGCCGAUGAAAGUGGCUCUCAGCAGGAAGGGGAGCUGAAAAGAAGAUGGUACUCUUUCCCCGGAGUCCACCCAUCUCUGGCUGGAUUCUUCUCCAAAGUUAUGUCAUCAAGCUGUCCCUCUGAAGUCCAGCUGCUUCUCUCUGACGUCCAGCUGUUUCUCCUCCCUGCUGGCUGAGUCUGGGGUCUUUAUAGGCAUAGGAUGGGGUGGGGCAGGCCAUCGUAGUUUAGGAAAAGACAACAUUCAAGCAGGAAAACAGGGAUAUAAGUUCUCACUUUAGGCAGUGGUUUCAAGUUUUUCAGCUUGAGGGUGAUGCUUCACCAGGGAUCUGCCUGUCUGCCUAGAAUUUCUCUGCCUCCUGCCUCUAUCAUUGUAUCACUAUCAAAGAACAGUUAUAAUUGGGUGAAACAUCUAGAAAGCUAAGAAGCCUAUACUCUAGAUAUAGCUGUUUGUGUGUAAGAUAGGUAUCUUCCAUUCUAGUCCUUCCUUUUUAUAGACUACUUUGUAUCUGGAUUUUAUGGCUUACGUAAGGUUUUAUGAUCUGACCUGGAAAUUUAGUAGAAGUGGUGAGGUACACACCUCAAAAUCAGAAAACAGGCACAGUAGCAUAAGCUGAGUCUCAGAUUUCUCAUCCAUAAGAUGGGGAUAAUAACAGUACUUACUUUAUAUUUGUAUGAAAAAUGCAUAUUGACUUUCCAACACCCAACUUAAAGACAUCUGGAAAAUAAUUCAUUUGCAGUCUAGUCAUUUAUUACAUUAUUUUAGACACUAGUUGGGUUAGGAUGUGAAUGCAGUUAUUUUAGGUAGCUCAUUUAUUCAGUGAAUAUUCACUGAGUGCUACUACAUGCCAAACAUUGCUCUAGCUGCUGACAAUAUGGCAGUAAACAAAACAAAAAUCUCUGUCCUCAUGGAGCUUGCAUUCUAGUCAGAGAGAGACAGAUGCUAAACAAAUAAAAAAUAUGUACUACGUCAGGGGGUGAUAGUGUUUGGAGUCAGGUAAAGUGGAGUAAGGAGGAUAGGGAGUAUGUUCUGAGUCCCACCUUAUACCCGUCAUCUACAAUGCUAUAGGAAGGCCUCACUAAUAAGGGGGCCACUUGAGCAUUUGGGUGUGCCACAUGGGCAUCUGGGAAAGUACAUUCCAAACAAAGGCAGCAGUAGGUGCGUCAAGGAGAGUAUAUUUGGCACAUCUGAAGGCCAGAAAGAAGGCCAAUGUGAUUGGAGUACUGUGAGAAAACGGGAAAGUGGUAGAAUAUGAGAUAGGCUGGUUGGAUCAAAGCAUCCUUGUGGGCCAUGGUAAGAUAAUUGACUUUAGGCUGGGCAUGAUGGC